AUAUAUGCCUCUCUUUUGCUUUUUUUUUUCACAUUCGAGCAGGAACCAGCUUGAUCUGUGAAUGUGCUAUAUGCGUAUGUUGGUUUAAAAUUGCUGAAUAUAAUGAACUGUGUGAUUUGGGCCUGUGUAUCCGUGUACGAAUAUGAUCUCUGCAUGCUCAUAAUUGUCCUUUGUGUUUGUGCAUGUCUCCUGAUGAUGAAUGUUGAGCAAAAUUUUGCAUGAAACUUGAUCUGCGAUAUGUGGGCCCUUCUGCACACUUGGAUCCCGGAUUGUAGAAGCUUCCAAGCAAACCCCACUGUGCAGUGUUUGUGGAAACAGCUAAAACAUUUUUAUCAGUGGCUGUCUGUCGUGUAUCCAAGUUUAGUCUCCAAGAACUGACCAUGUCAUUUUCCAGAUUAUGAUUUGUUGUGAACAGCCCUGUCCAACUUGUCAGUUUCAAUACAUUAAUGCAGCUCGGUGAGUUGCUGUGUAGUCUCGGGAUUGUGUAUGUAAGGAAUAUGGACUUGAGUUAAAACAGGUUCUGGGGAAAUUUCAGGAUCAUCAAGGGGAGUUUCCUCCUUUGGGCGUGAAUAAAUGGCAGAUUGCUCCUCAAUAUCUGCACUAAUUUCCUCUUGAUCAUGAAAGCUUUUCUCAUAGUUUAAUGCUUGAAUCUGAAAUCCAUGAUUGGUUAUUUCUAUGUACAACUCAGUUGAUUCCAACAAUCUAUAGAGUUUGUCCUCUCCCAAAAGCUCUUGUGGCACAUUAGACUGCUCAAAAUAGUGCUCAAGAUGCUUUUGCAAGCUUGGGGUGUAGAACUUUGAUAAUGAGUUGUUCAAAUUUCUUUUUGAGUCGUUUCUCA